CUCCUGUUACUACAUCACCUCCAACUUCAAGAGAUCCCAGUGAUGCCAGACCCAGUGACACACCACCUGAAAGCUCCGGUUCUUUAGCUACAUGGAUCAUUGUGGUGAUCAUUGUUUUAAUUACAG